UUCCUGGUUAAGAUGGCGUCCCCCCGGCAGCGCACGCCGGGAAACUUAUGCGAGACCUGGCGCUCCGGCCCGCGUUCCCGACAGCCGCUCCCAGGCAGCUCAAUUAACCUCCAGAAGAUGGCUGAACCGCAGGAAUACCAGAGCAAGAAACUGAUGUCUGACAAUGGAGUGAGAGUUCAAAGAUUCUUUGUAGCAGACACUACGAAUGAAGCUCUUGAGGCCGCUAAGAAACUAAAUGCAAAAGAAAUUGUUUUAAAAGCCCAGAUCUUAGCUGGAGGAAGAGGAAAAGGUGUCUUCAAUAGCGUUUUGAAAGGAGGUGUUCAUUUAACAAAAGAUCCUAAUGUUGUGGGACAGCUGGCUAAACCGAUGAUUGGAUAUAAUCUAGCAACCAAACAAACUCCAAAAGAAUGUGUGAAAGUUAACAAGGUGUUGGUUGCUGAAGACUUGGACAUUUCCAGAGAAACCUACCUGGCGAUUCUGAUGGACCGGUCCUGCAAUGGCUCCGUACUGGUGGGCAGCCCCCAGAGGGGCGUUCACAUUGAAGAGGUGGCCGCUUCGAAUCCAGAACUUACUUUUAAGGAGAAAAUUGACAUUUUUGAAGGCAUAAAGGACAGCCAAGCUCAGCGGAUGGCAGAGAAUCUAGGCUUCCUUGGGCCUUUGAAAAACCAGCCUGCAGAUCAAAUUAAGAAGCUGUAUAAUCUCUUCCUGAAAGUUGGUGCUACUCAGGUGGAAGUGAAUCCCUUUGGUGAAACUCCAGAAGGACGAGUUGUCUGUUUUGAUGCCAAGAUAAACUUUGAUGACAAUGCAGAUUGCCGACAAAAGGAUAUAUUCGCUAUGGAUGACAAGUCAGAGAAUGAGCCCGUUGAAAAUGAAGCUGCCAGAUGUGAUCUAUAGGACUGGAUGGGAACAUUGCCUGCUUUGUGAAUGAUGCUGGGCUCGCCAUGGCUACUUGUGACAUCAUUUUCCUUAAUGUUGGGAAGACAGUCAACUUCUUGGAUCUUGGUGGUAGUGUAAAGGAAACUCAGGUAUAUCAAGCAUUCAAAUUGCUCACAGCUGUCCCUAACGUUCAAGCGAUCCUUGUCAAUAUUUUUGGUGGUAUUGUCAACUGUGCCAUCUUCGCCAAUGGAAUCACCAAAGCCUGCCAGGACCUAGAACCCAAGGUGCCCUGGUGGUCCAGCUUGAAGGAACCAAUGUCCAAGAGGCUCAGAACAUACUCAGUAACAGCGGACUGUCCAUGACUUCUCCUGUUGACCUGGAGGAUGCGGUCAGGAAGGCUGUGGCCAGUGUGUCCAAGAAGUGUCAUCUUCAUCCUGAUCCCUUGGGGAAGGAAUUCCAUUUCUCCAUAAGAAGGGUUGCUUCUCUCAUCACUGUGAAGGAAAUGGUUGUCUCAUUGGGGGGAAAAUAA